CGUAGGGUGCAAGCGUUAAUCGGAAUUACUGGGCGUAAAGCGUGCGCAGGCGGUUUCGUAAGCUUGAUGUGAAAUCCCCGGGCUCAACCUGGGAACUGCAUUGAGGACUGCGAGGCUAGAAUACGGCAGAGGGGGUGGAAUUCCACGUGUAGCAGUGAAAUGCGUAGAGAUGUGGAGGAACACCGAUGGCGAAGGCAGCCCCCUGGGCCUGUAUUGACGCUCAUGCACGAAAGCGUGGGAGCAAACAGGAUU
rnacentral:rRNA from 1 species